AACGAACGUUAGCGGCGCGCCUAACACAUGCAAGUCGAGCGAGAAAGGGAGCAAUCCCCGGUACAGCGGCGCACGGGUGAGUAGCACGUAGGUAAUCUGCCUCUGAGUGGGGGAUAACCUUCCGAAAGGAGGGCUAAUACCGCAUAAGACCACGCCUUCGAGAGGGGGAGGGGUCAAAGCCGGCCACUAUACAUAAGCUGGCGCUUGGAGAUGAGCCUGCGGCCCAUCAGCUAGUUGGUAGGGUAAUGGCCUACCAAGGCUAAGACGGGUAGCUGGUCUGAGAGGAUGAUCAGCCACACUGGAACUGAGACACGGUCCAGACUCCUACGGGAGGCAGCAGUGGGGAAUCUUGCGCAAUGGGCGAAAGCCUGACGCAGCGACGCCGCGUGGGUGAUGAAGGCCUUCGGGUUGUAAAGCCCUGUGGAGGGGGAAGGAA
rnacentral:rRNA from 1 species